UACGUAGGUGGCAAGCGUUAUCCGGAUUUACUGGGUGUAAAGGGCGUGUAGGCGGGAGUGCAAGUCAGAUGUGAAAACCACGGGCUCAACCUGUGGCCUGCAUUUGAAACUGUACUUCUUGAGUACUGGAGAGGCAGACGGAAUUCCUAGUGUAGCGGUGAAAUGCGUAGAUAUUAGGAGGAACACCAGUGGCGAAGGCGGUCUGCUGGACAGCAACUGACGCUGAGGUGCGAAAGCGUGGGGAGCAAACAGG
rnacentral:rRNA from 1 species